CUGAUGUGUCGGUACUCCUGGAGGUCACUCUCUCCAGGCUCUGUCCAGGCGGCAUAGGAGAGCACAGGGCUCUGCCCCGUGAUGUGCAAUCCUUUUCCACAACGUUGGCGAUCAAGCCGGGCCUUGAGCCUCUGCCAGCAUAGUCCUGCAGUUUCUCAGGACAGUGACUGAGGAGACACACCACGCAGGAAACAGCU